rnacentral:misc_RNA from 1 species
UUGGAAGCGUGGUCAUUGCAUGGGUUUGUUUUCAUAGCAGUGACUGAAAGCUGGGCUUUGUUUUCGUAACAUUUGUGGCGGAAAUCUUGUUCUCACUGCCAUAUGCGAUUCGGAUUGUUAUUGAGCAUCUGCUCAAAAUGCCACACAAGUGCUGUAUGCCCUAUUGUAGGGGAAACUACGACAACGGUUUAAAAGUUAGCGUCUUUUCAUUCCCGUCUGAUGAAGCAUUAAGAUUGAAACGGAUCGCUGCAGUUCAUAGGAAUGACUGGGAACCCAGUAAACAGUUCGUUAUAUGUGAACUGCAUUUCACUGCAGACGACAUUGAGAAAAUUACCAGUGCUUACGACCCAAAACUGGCAAACUCUUUACAGUUUACAGCACCUUUGGACCGUCCACGUUUAAAGAAACGUUCGUGAAAAUUGAUCGUAAAGGAUGCUGUACCAUCAAAGUUGCCAGGAUGACCUACGUCUUUAUCUUCAAAACAAGCACCAGCUCGAGAAGAUUCAGAGAGUCGCGAAUGUUUGAAGAACCAAGCACUUGAGAAAGUCAUUGAGCAGAGUGUGGGAUCACACAAAAAAUG